UGGGGAAUUUUGCACAAUGGGGGAAACCCUGAUGCAGCGACGCCGCGUGAUUUAGAAGGCCUUCGGGUUGUAAAAAUCUUUUCUAUGGGAAGAAAAUGACAGUACCAUAGGAAUAAGGACCGGCUAAUUACGUGCCAGCAGCCGCGGUAAUACGUAAGGUCCGAGCGUUGUCCGGAAUCAUUGGGCGUAAAGGGUACGUAGGCGGGUAAGCAAGUUAGAAGUGAAAUCCUGUAGCUCAACUACAGUAAGCUUUUAAAACUGCUCAUCUUGAGAUAUGGAAGGGGAAGUGGAAUUCCUAGUGUAGCGGUGAAAUGCGCAGAUAUUAGGAGGAAUACCGGUGGCGAAGGCGACUUUCUGGCCAUAAUCUGACGCUGAGGUACGAAAGCGUGGGUAGCAAACAGG
rnacentral:rRNA from 1 species